GAUGAACGCUGGCGGCGUGCUUAACACAUGCAAGUCGAACGAACCUUCGGGUUAGUGGCGGACGGGUGAGUAACGCGUGAGAAUCUGCCCUCAGGAGGGGGAUAACGGUUGGAAACGGCCGCUAAUACCCCAUAUGCCGCGAGGUGAAAUGAAUUUCGCCUGAGGAUGAGCUCGCGUCUGAUUAGCUAGUUGGUGUAGGUAAUGGCUCACCAAGGCAUCGAUCAGUAGCUGGUCUGAGAGGAUGAUCAGCCACACUGGGACUGAGACACGGCCCAGACUCCUACGGGAGGCAGCAGUGGGGAAUUUUCCGCAAUGGGCGAAAGCCUGACGGAGCAACGCCGCGUGAGAGAUGAAGGCCUCUGGGCUGUAAACCUCUUUUAUCAAGGAAGAAGAUCUGACGGUACUUGAUGAAUAAGCCACGGCUAAUUCCGUG
rnacentral:rRNA from 1 species